GACGAACCGUGCGAACGUUGUUCGGAAUCACUGGGCUUAAAGGGCGCGUAGGCGGAUCAGCAAGUCCGGGGUGAAAUCCUCCGGCUUAACCGGAGAAGUGCCUUGGAUACUGCUGGUCUCGAGGGAGGUAGGGGUCAUUGGAACUUCUGGUGGAGCGGUGAAAUGCGUUGAUAUCAGAAGGAACGCCUGUGGCGAAAGCGAAUGACUGGAUCUCUUCUGACGCUGAGGCGCGAAAGCUAGGGGAGCGAACGGG
rnacentral:rRNA from 1 species